UGGACUGUUGUUUUGAACAGAGUUUAUACAGAAAUACACGACCAGGAUUUAAUUCAAUAUCUCCCGAGACCAUUAGUUUCCUUUGGUAUUGUUCAUUGGCAAUAUUAUACCUCAAAUUCAAAUUGUCCAAUCAGGAAGCUUAGUUUGUGCCACGUGAGCAUGAAAUUAAUCGCGAUAUCACGCCUUACGUCAUCAUUUAGCGAGCCUGCGUUCCUUUUGACAAUGUUCCACCCCGGGGUGGAACAUUAUUCGCGUAGACCACGCGGGACAACACGCAUGACAACAAGAUGGCCGACAAAACAUAAAUAGUAUUAAUGAGUGAUGAAUAAUUCAAUUUUAAACCUAAAACCUGGGGCUUUUUCAAACCUAAAACCCCUAGCUUUGUCAUUAAUAUUCCAAACGAUAUGUGAUUCGAAAGAAAAGCGACGAUACUUGCGUUAAUCCGAAAAUAAAACAUCGUAUUCACGAAGGUAUCUGUCAAGUUUUUAAUUCUCAACUUGGAGGCUUUUAAUUUUCGGUAUAAUAUAUCAUUUAUAGACCCUCCGCUCGGGGGAUUCGGCGAAAUAUUACCCUCAGUGAUGAUAUUUCCCUCGGGG